rnacentral:rRNA from 1 species
UCCUACGGGGCGCAGCAGUGAGGAAUAUUGGUCAAUGGGCGGGAGCCUGAACCAGCCAAGUCGCGUGAGGGAAGACGGUCCUAUGGAUUGUAAACCUCUUUCUUCUUGGAGCAAUUCCGUGCACGCGUGCCCGGAGGGAGAUUACCCGCAGAAUAAGCAUCGGCUAACCCCGUGCCAGCAGCCGCGGUAAUACGGAGGAUGCGAGCGUUAUCCGUAUUUAUUGGGUUUAAAGGGUGCGUAGGCGGAUUUUUAAGUCA